rnacentral:rRNA from 1 species
CCCUAGUAACGGCGAGUGAAGCGGGAACAGCUCAAAUUUGAAAUCUGGCCCUUGGGUCCGAGUUGUAAUUUGCAGAGGAUGCUUUUGGUGCGGUGCCUUCCGAGUUCCCUGGAACGGGACGCCUUAGAGGGUGAGAGCCCCGUACGGUUGGCCACCAAGCCUGUGUAAAGCUCCUUCGACGAGUCGAGUAGUUUGGGAAUGCUGCUCAAAAUGGGAGGUAUAUUUCUUCUAAAGCUAAAUACUGGCCAGAGACCGAUAGCGCACAAGUAGAGUGAUCGAAAGAUGAAAAGCACUUUGAAAAGAGGGUUAAAUAGCACGUGAAAUUGUUGAAAGGGAAGGAUUUAUGACCAGACUUUUUCUAGGGGGAUCAUCCGGUGUUCUCACCGGUGCACUUCCCCUAGUUGAGGCCAGCAUCGGUUUCUGUCGGGGGAUAAAAGCUUCAGGAAUGUGGCUCCUUCGGGAGUGUUAUAGCCUGUUGCAUAAUACCCUGACGGGGACCGAGGUUCGCGCAUUGCAAGGAUGCUGGCGUAAUGGUUAUUAAUCACCCGUCUUGAAACACGGACCAAGGAGUCGAACAUUUGUGCGAGUGUUUGGGUGUUAAACCCUCACGCGUAAUGAAAGUGAACGGAGGUGAGAGCCCUUCGGGGUGCAUCAUCGACCGAUCCUGAUGUCUUCGGAUGGAUUUGAGUAAGAGCAUAACUGUUCGGACCCGAAAGAUGGUGAACUAUGCGUGGAUAGGGUGAAGCCAGAGGAAACUCUGGUGGAGGCUCGCAGCGGUUCUGACGUGCAAAUCGAUCGUCAAAUCUGCGCAUGGGGGCGAAAGACUAAUCGAACCAU